rnacentral:rRNA from 1 species
CACCGCGGUUACACGAGAGGCCCAAGUUGAUAGACAUCGGCGUAAAGGGUGGUUAAUAGGAAAAAUUACACUAAAGCCGAACGUUUUCAAGGCUGUCAUAAGCUUUCGAAAAUAGGAAGCUCCCCCACGAAAGUGGCUUUAAUAACUAUGACCCCACGAAAGCUAGGGCA